rnacentral:tRNA from 1 species
GCCGUUAUAGCUCAGUCGGUAGAGCAACUGACUUGUAAUCAGUAGGUCGAUCGGGUUCGAAUCCCUCUGACGGCA